GUAAAAGAAAGGGGGAAAUAAAGAAACCACAGCCUUCAUCUGGCUUUUAGGGAACUUAGGACACAUGGAAGAAAGCGCUUGGAAGGCUAUUGAAAUAUUUACAAAACAAAUCAUUUACGUUUAACUUUUGUAUAUGUAAAACCCGGAGAGCUGCCUACAAAGACAGAGGCAACUUUAGUUAUGAGAUAUUUUGGCAUCAAAAUGGUUAAUAGUAUUAUAGCUUCAAAAGAGCCUAUUGGCUCACCCUCAAGGAUGCCCUGCAGUUGUUGUUAAAGUCAUCACAUGAAGCUAGCCUGCUCAGCUAGCCUUUAGAUUUGUCUGCUAACAGUAAAAAUACUAUAAUAAAUCGGUAACAUAUGUUGCCAGGCAAGGAAAAGUGAUAUAAAUAAAGAGACCAGGAGACCCAAACCAAGUACAAUGUGAAAAGAAUUUAACUUUCAAUCUCUGCGUUGGUUAAUUACCAUUUGAAAAGUCAUUUGAAAGUGUUACUCUUAUUUGCUUAUAUUCUUCCUCAUUUUUUUUUUUUUUCUCUUCAGAUUGCAUUCUUACCCAAAUACUCUUCGUGAUGGCCUGCUUUGCGGCUUUGGGAUUCUUUAGGGAAUGGAGAUCAGUUUCAUGGAUGACAUCCCAGUUUUCUCAUCAUCAGAAAAGAAAAAAAUCCUCUGGCCAGUGGAAGAAACAGUCACCAAAACGUGAAACAGCCUGGUGAGACAGCAAUAUUCAACUACGAAAAGACCAACAGCAUUGGUCAUGCCAUAUUGUACCUGUCUUUCGGUGUUCCUGCUGCCCACAGGCCUGGAAGCUUCAGACGGACAGGAUCUUGCAUUUUGGCUACUCCUGCACAUGGCCCAGAGUCUGGUAACCAGAAUGAACUUGAGUUGCGGUUAAACAGACAUGCGAAUCCUGCACCCCCACUCCAAGCACUGAGUAUAUCUUCCAGAACCAUAGCCUCUGCCUGGGGGAGGACUGAGCCUGCCCAGCAAGCUCACCGCAAGCUGGGAGAAGCCCAGACUCUGCAGGCACGUGGUUCUGCAGAACGAGCCCUGGAUGGACUCAGGCAGGCACACCCAGUGAUCUCUCCUAGAUUCAACAAUCAGGCCAGCAGCUGGUGUGACACUAAAUCUUCCCAGAGAAACAUAAACCCAGGAAAUGACAGCCUUGUCCCUAGCAUUGGCCUCAAUGCUCAUUGACAUAUCGAAGAAACUAAAGGGUGAAAGGAGGUGAUGGUUAAUUUUAUGCAUCACCUUGGCUGGAUGAUGGUGUCCAGUUAUUUGGUCAAACACUAGUCUAGAUGUUGCUUGAAGGUAGUUUUUAAAGGUGGUUAAAAUUUAACUCAAAAUAUUCCGAGUAAAGCAAAUUGCCCCCCAUGGUAUGGGUGGGUCUUAUCCAAUCAGUUGAAGGCCUUAAGCACAAGGACUGAGGUUUCCUGAAGAAGAAAUUCUCCUCAAGACGGCAACAUCGACUCUUACCUGAUUUUCCAACCUGCCUUACAGACUGCAGCCUUGCCAGUCCCACAACUGCAUGAAUCACUUCCUUCUCUCAAUCUCUCUUUCUAUUGUGUGUCUGUGUGUGUAUUCGCCUUCUGGUUCUGUUUCUCUGGAGAACCCUGCCGAUACAACCGACUAUGUUGAAUCUGUAGCAGAAGAGGUAGGGUGAUGGCCAUGAAAGCCAUGUUCGAGUUUCUAAUGGGUUCUCUAGGAUGAGGUCUUGGGCUUAUUUAAUGUGUCACAUCACUCUGACUAUCUUGAGAUGCUUGAGUAUCUGAGAUGCUUUAGAUAGUGCCUGAUGGGUCUUAUCAGUGGUGCUACAGAAAAGACGCUCAUGUUACAAGAAAGCUGAAUCAGAUGGCUGCCUGCUAGGGGUACUUCAAACUGUUUUGAGGACACUGACAUUAUCUAAUGCUUCUGUUAAAUAAUUAUAAUGUGAUCCCCCCCC
rnacentral:lncRNA from 9 species